rnacentral:tRNA from 1 species
GCUCAGUUGGUUGAGCAUUGAACUCUUGGUUUUGGCUCAGGUCAUGAUCUCCUGAAUUGUGGGAUCAAACCCCACAUUGGGCU